ACAUGUAUGUAUGCGUGUGUGUGUGUUAAUUGUUCAGUUUAGUUAUAUAAAAAAGGUAAAUAAAAAUUAAGGGGGAGAUAAGUAGUAAAAGAAGCAAAGAGACAUUAGGUGUUAUAGAGAGAGAGUCUCAAGAAAGUGUUUUUUGGUUAAAGUACCUGACCGCAUAGAAGAAACUUUAACUGAGCUGAUACAAAGGUGGAUUUUGCCUGGGUCUCACAUUGUCAAUGAUGGGUGGCGAGCAUAUAAUAACAUCUGUAUCCUCAAUGGAGGCGCCUACACACGUGAGCUGAUUAUACACCAACAACCCGUGGAAGAGGUAGACCCAGGAAGACCUGGGAUGAAGUGGUGAAGCACGACUUUCGAACUUUGGGCCUCACCAAGGAAAUGACUAGUGACCGAAACUUUUGGAAAUAUGCUGUGCAUGAGA